AUACGGAGGAUGCGAGCGUUAUCCGGAUUUAUUGGGUUUAAAGGGAGCGUAGGUGGGAUAUUAAGUCAGCUGUGAAAGUUUGGGGCUCAACCUUAAAAUUGCGGUUGAUACUGGUUUCCUUGAGUACGGUACAGGUGGGCGGAAUUCGUGGUGUAGCGGUGAAAUGCUUAGAUAUCACGAAGAACUCCGAUCGCGAAGGCAGCUCACCGGGCCGGAACUGACACUGAUGCUCGAAAGUGCGGGUAUCAAACAGGAUUAGAUACCCUGGUAGUCCGCACAGUAAACGAUGAAUACUCGCUGUUUGCGAUACACUGUAAGCGGCCAAGCGAAAGCGUUAAGUAUUCCACCUGGGGAGUACGCCGGCAACGGUGAAACUCAAAUGAAUUGACGGGG
rnacentral:rRNA from 1 species